GAAAAGAACUUUGAAAAGAGAGUUAAACAGUACGUGAAAUUGUUGAAAGGGAAACGAUUGAAGCCAGUCGUACCGACAAGAAAUCAGCUCUUUUUGUGCGAACUUGUGGGCGUGCGUGAGCUUUACGGCCUCGCUGUUUGCUAUGUUUGUGCUCUUUGGGUGUACUUUUUCGUAUGGUAGGCCAAUGUCAGUUUCGAUCAUCAUAAAAUAAUCGGAGGAAUGUAGCUUCGACCUCGGUUGAAGUGUUAUAGCCUCUGGUAGAUGUGGUAAUUGGGACUGAGGAUUGCAACGAAUACCCUUUGGGCUAUCCGUCUGACCUCUGAUUGUCGCUUAUGUGCUGAAAGCGUGCUUAUGGCUAUUUAAGUUGGCGGUCAAUAGGUUAGAACGUGAUUAUAUUCGU
rnacentral:rRNA from 1 species